rnacentral:lncRNA from 10 species
CAUACAAAUACAAUGUAUUAUUUUAAAAUACACACUUUGAAUCCAGCACCUGCUUGUGAGGGGAAGCCCUCAGAGGACAGGAGGUGGUAGUUUCAGGUACACCCCCACCCCAUAAUAACCCCCACUUGCCUGUGUGCGCUGCUUCAGAGCUUGCAAAACAUCUUCACUUCCGUGAUCUCACCUAAGCCUCCCCCACGUGACCCUGUGGAAUUCUCAUUGCCAGAUUUGCUGCUUCAGAAGGAUGAGCUUGACAGACAAAAUCCCAAGCGCAUUAACGCAGUCUCCCAUUUGCCUUCGAGAACACCCCUGAUCCAGACAAAAAAGAGCACUUCCUCCAGCAGCAGUGAGUUUGAGGAUCUGAAUGCAUAUGCUUCCCAAAGAAAUUUUUACAAGAGAAACUUAAACCGCUACUGCCAGGAGCACUGGCCAUUCCAGCCAUGCCUCACUGGGAGGCCCUGAGCAUUCUAGCCGGCGGCUGCACAGCUGCUGGGGCAUCUCCAUGAGGAAGAGGGCGGUGGACAGGAGUCAUGAAGACUAAUUCGGAAACUCCCCUGAAGGAGGAGAAGACAUCUGAGCCAUCCUUGUGCCACCAAGCAAGAGUCACUCCAGCUCCUAAAAAGCCACCAUGGGAAGAGCUGCCUCCAAUUAAAGUUCUUGAUUGCACCAGAGGAUGUGUCCUUCUCUUUUCCUUUCCCCCUUACCAACUAAUGUCUUAUUAUUUUUAAAUAUAUUGUCACAUCUAACUAAGCUUAAAAAAUUUAGCCUAUUGGCUGGGCGCAGUGGCUCACGCCUGUAAUCCCAACACUUUGGGAGACCGAGGCAGGUGGAUCACAUGAGGUCAUAAGUUCAAGACCAGCCUGGCCAAUGCGGUGAAACCCCAUCUGUGCUAAAAAUAAAAAAAUCUGCCAGGUGUGGUGGCGUGCUCCUGUAAUCUCAGCUACUAGGGAGGCUGAGGCAGGAGAAUCACUUGAACCCAGGAGGCAGAGGUUGCAAUGAGCUGAGAUCUCGCCGCUGCACUCCAGCCUGGGUAACAGAGUGAGACUCCGUGAAAGAAAGAAAGGAAGGGAAGGGGGAAGGGGGAAGGGAAGAAAGAAAAAAGAGAGAGAGAGGAAGGAGAAAACAGCUUUUUGGAUACCUUCUGAAAUAAUUCCAAAUUUACAGAAAUGUCACAAGAAUAAUACAGAGAACUCCCAUUUAC